CCUACGGGAGGCUGCAGUGGGGAAUUUUGGACAAUGGGCGCAAGCCUGAUCCAGCCAUUCCGCGUGAGUGAAGAAGGCCUUCGGGUUGUAAAGCUCUUUCGCAAGGGAAGAGAACUUAUCCUCUAACAUAGGAUGAGGUUGACGGUACCUUGAUAAGAAGCACCGGCUAACUACGUGCCAGCAGCCGCGGUAAUACGUAGGGUGCGAGCGUUAAUCGGAAUUACUGGAGGCUGAGCUGGAACUGAGAGGUUAAAUCCCCGAGCUCAACUUGGGAACUGCGUUUGAAACUACAAGACUAGAAUAGGUCAGAGGGGGGUAGAAUUCCACGUGUAGCAGUGAAAUGCGUAGAGAUGUGGAGGAAUAUCAAUGGCGAAGGCAGCCCCCUGGGAUCAUAUUGACGCUCAUGCACGAAAGCGUGGGGAGCAAACAGGAUUAGAUACCCCAGUAGUC
rnacentral:rRNA from 1 species